rnacentral:rRNA from 1 species
AGUGAACGCUGGCGGUAGACCUAACACAUGCAAGUCGAACGGCAGCACAGUAAGAGCUUGCUCUUACGGGUGGCGAGUGGCGGACGGGUGAGGAAUACAUCGGAAUCUACUUUUUCGUGGGGGAUAACGUAGGGAAACUUACGCUAAUACCGCAUACGACCUACGGGUGAAAGCAGGGGAUCUUCGGACCUUGCGCGAUUGAAUGAGCCGAUGUCGGAUUAGCUAGUUGGCGGGGUAAAGGCCCACCAAGGCGACGAUCCGUAGCUGGUCUGAGAGGAUGAUCAGCCACACUGGAACGGAGACACGGUCCAGACUCCUACGGGAGGCAGCAGUGGGGAAUAUUGGACAAUGGGCGCAAGCCUGAUCCAGCCAUACCGCGUGGGUGAAGAAGGCCUUCGGGUUGUAAAGCCCUUUUGUUGGGAAAGAAAAGCAGCAGGUUAAUACCCCGCUGUUCUGACGGUACCCAAAGAAUAAGCACCGGCUAACUUCGUG